ACGAACGCUGGCGGCGUGCUUAACACAUGCAAGUCGAACGGAAAGGCCCCUUUGGGGGUACUCGAGUGGCGAACGGGUGAGUAACACGUGAGUAACCUGCCCUUGACUUCGGGAUAACUUCAGGAAACUGGGGCUAAUACCGGAUAGGAAUCCUUGCUGCAUGGUGGGGGUUGGAAGGCUUCGGCGGUUUUGGAUGGACUCGCGGCUUAUCAGCUUGUUGGUGGGGUAGUGGCUUACCAAGGCUUUGACGGGUAGCCGGCCUGAGAGGGCGACCGGCCACAUUGGGACUGAGAUACGGCCCAGACUCCUACGGGAGGCAGCAGUGGGGAAUAUUGCACAAUGGGCGGAAGCCUGAUGCAGCAACGCCGCGUGCGGGAUGACGGCCUUCGGGUUGUAAACCGCUUUCAGCAGGGGCGAAGCUUGUGGUGACGGUACCUGCAGAAGAAGCACCGGCUAACUACGUG
rnacentral:rRNA from 1 species